ACAGUUUGUUAUUGAGACGAUAGCCCUGAGGAUAGGAGAGAGAAUCAUGAGUCACCUUCCAAACAGGUUUGAACUGGUGUGAGAUAAUGGUACGAACAUAUUUUAGAAACUGGUCUAAACUAGCCCGUAAGAAAGAGUGGUAGGUGUGGAUUAAAAAAAAGACCGUCACAUGCUACGGAGAAAGGGAGCUGGACUAACAAGAAACUGUGGCUGCAACUGCCUGCGAAACAAAUACCAUGAGGAUUCACUAUGGAGGCAGCUUUGCCCAAAGAAGAAGGUCAGAGACAGAACUUUGCAGCCAUGCUAUUCAGUAAUGAAGAUGCAAAUUGUUGUUUAAUAUUCAACUGCUGCUUCCUCUGAAGGUCUGAACAAGUGACAGUGGCAAUGUUAGGAUUUCCUCAGAGACCUUUUCCACUCGGCUUAGCCGGAACACCUCUCCAGUUCUGGGGAUAACACUUUAUCCAGCUCUCUCGAAUCCAAGAAAUCAGCUCAACUCUGGACUCAUCACUGAGGUUUCAUUAUUGGCAUACAAUCAAACUACACUUGAGUUGAUCAGGCUCAAGUGUAGCAGGUGGGUACAGGGUAUACCGCACUUUCAACGUACAUGAUCAUGAGUUCGCUUAUAUACACUCUUUUACUUAAUACUAUUGGCUAAUGUCACUUUAUGAUUGGUCUACUAAUUUUUGUACCAAUCUCUGUACGGAUCAUGAACUGUCCACAAGCUACAAAGUAUGCUAGUAAGCAAAGCUGCAGCUGCAAGUUUAUCACACAUUAACUCUUCUUACUA